CCCGACUGCUAUUUGGGUGAGGAUAAGCCAUGCGAGUCGAAUGGGAUACCUAAAUUUCCCAUGGCGAACUGCUCAAUAACGCAUGAUCAACUUGCCCUAUAGAGAAAAAUAACCUCGGGAAACUGAGGAUAAUGUUUCAUAGUUGAAAAGGCUUGGAAAAGUUUUUCGACCAAAGGGAUAAAAAAAAUGGUUUUUAUCCGCUAUAGGAUAGGAUCGUGCUCGAUUAUGGUCGUUGGUGAGGUAACGGCUCACCAAGCCGAUAAUCGAUAGGGGCCGUGAGAGCGGGAGCCCCGAGAUGGGUACUGAGACAACGACCCAGGCCUUACGAGGCGCAGCAGGCGCGGAACCUCCGCAAUACACGAAAGUGUGACGGGGUUACCCAAAGUGUUCAAUAGAACUGUGGUAGGUGAGUAAUGUCCCCUACUAGAAAGGAGAGGGCAAGGCUGGUGCCAGCCGCCGCGGUAAAACCAGCUCUUCAAGUGGUCGGGAUAAUUAUUGGGCUUAAAGUGUCCGUAGCCGGUUUAGUAAGUUCCUGGUAAAAUCGGGUAGCUUAACUAUCUGCAUGCUAGGAAUACUGCUAUACUAGAGGGCGGGAGAGGUCUGAGGUACUACAGGGGUAGGGGUGAAAUCUUAUAAUCCUUGUAGGACCACCAGUGGCGAAGGCGUCAGACUGGAACGCGCCUGACGGUGAGGGACGAAAGCCAGGGGAGCGAACCGGAUUAGAUACCCGGGUAGUCCUGGCCGUAAACGAUGCAUACUAGGUGAUGGUACGGCCAUGAGCCGUAUCAGUGCCGUAGGGAAACCGUUAAGUGUGCCGCCUGGGAAGUACGGUCGCAAGGCUAAAAC
rnacentral:rRNA from 1 species